CGAUGCAACGCGAAGAACCUUACCUGGUCUUGACAUCCACGGAAGUUUUCAGAGAUGAGAAUGUGCCUUCGGGAACCGUGAGACAGGUGCUGCAUGGCUGUCGUCAGCUCGUGUUGUGAAAUGUUGGGUUAAGUCCCGCAACGAGCGCAACCCUUAUCCUUUGUUGCCAGCGGUCCGGCCGGGAACUCAAAGGAGACUGCCAGUGAUAAACUGGAGGAAGGUGGGGAUGACGUCAAGUCAUCAUGGCCCUUACGACCAGGGCUACACACGUGCUACAAUGGCGCAUACAAAGAGAAGCGAUCUCGCGAGAGCAAGCGGACCUCAUAAAGUGCGUCGUAGUCCGGAUUGGAGUCUGCAACUCGACUCCAUGAAGUCGGAAUCGCUAGUAAUCGUGGAUCAGAAUGCCACGGUGAAUACGUUCCCGGGCCUUGUACACACCGCCCGUCACACCAUGGGAGUGGGUUGCAAAAGAAGUAGGUAGCUUAACCUUCGGGAGGG
rnacentral:rRNA from 1 species